UCACUGGGAAGAGGGAUUGAUUGUUAAACCACUUGUGGAAAUUGUAGCUCUGUGAGGAGGAAGCCAUUUAAAGUGCUAUCAUUAUGUUUUACAUGUGUUGUUCCGAUAUGGCUUCUUGGGCACAGAGAGAGCAGGGCAAGCAAGUGGACAACGGCAACAGUGAAAAGGCUGUCUGGUCCACAUCCAGUUUAAAGUUAAAGAACCAGAGGAAGGGGGAGAGAGCAGCAUCCAUGAAGUUGCUCAACAGUCCACACACAUGGAUCACCUGGUCACUGUCUUAUCCAUGAUGAUUCCUCUGCUUGAAGGCGGGCCACUGUCAGUACCGACACCCUUCACCGGCAGACAGCAGUCCCCUCAGAAGGUGGAGUACAUCACCUGCAGGAGAGGCAAAGCGAGCUUGCUUUCUCACCUUGCCCACUUACAUUAAAUUUUGCUGCAUCUCUGGAUUGCAUGGGAGAAGUAGGUGGGGGCACAUUGGCAGAAGAGGAAGUGGGCAGAGGAAGAAGUGUCAUGGCAUUUUGUGUAAAUGCAAGUAUUCACACAAUAUAUGCAUAUGUUUUCUGAGGUCCCAGGAAAUUUCUGUCCCCUGUGCCCCCCUUUUGACCCCCAAUGUACCCACUGCACCCCCUCUCCUGGGUCCUGUGCUCUGCCACUGAGCUAUGGCUUUUCCCGCUUGUCUUGCAGUAGCUUAUCCAAAUUGACCCAAUUUCCCUUGAAACUUCUCCCGUUGAAGCAAGACCCUAAAAAUGUGUUUUUAUGUGAAAUUUUGUUCCAAAUUUACUUGGGACAGGAGAGACAUCAGCUUGAACCCUGAUAAAGAAAGCCUAUUUAAUCUGCAGUGUUUGCAUGAAAUGGAUGGGGAAAAAAGCUCAUGGCAUCUUCCUAUGCCAUGAAGAUGCUUUGAAGGUGUUAGAAAUAUUUAAUUUGCAUCAUUCACAGGGGGGAAAUGUAAACUAGACCAACUCUGUUCUGAGCUGUAAGAAAUAAAUGCUUCGAAAUGGGGAAUAAGGAGGUUAGGGUAAAGUGACCCGCAGAUAACGACAGGCUAAAGUUUUGCUGUCAUGCUGCACAAAAUGUUUUAGAAUGGAAAAUAAUUAAUGUUGAGUAAAGAAUGGAGCUGAGAUUAUUAUAAUGAGAUACAGUGUGCUCUUCCGACCAUCUAGGGGUCAAUGUUACUUGGUUCCAAAUGGUUACGAGUAAGUAAGAAUUGUCCUGCUAUAAAGUAGAAAUAAUGCAAUGGUAUGCAGUCAGUUUUACAGUGACCUUAAGGUUAAUGGUAGUUGCUCUUAGUAUGUUUAUAAAGGUUUAAAAGAGACAUAUGAACUGAAGAUUUUAA